rnacentral:rRNA from 1 species
GUGAACCUGCGGUAAGGAUCAUUAAUGGCUAUGAUUCUAGUCUUUGCUCU